AGUGAACGCUGGCGGUAGGCCUAGCACAUGCAAGUCGAACGGCAGCGCAGUAAGAGCUUGCUCUUACGGGUGGCGAGUGGCGGACGGGUGAGGAAUACAUCGGAAUCUACUUUUUCGUGGGGGAUAACGUAGGGAAACUUACGCUAAUACCGCAUACGACCUACGGGUGAAAGCAGGGGAUCUUCGGACCUUGCGCGAUUGAAUGAGCCGAUGUCGGAUUAGCUAGUUGGCGGGGUAAAGGCCCACCAAGGCGACGAUCCGUAGCUGGUCUGAGAGGAUGAUCAGCCACACUGGAACUGAGACACGGUCCAGACUCCUACGGGAGGCAGCAGUGGGGAAUAUUGGACAAUGGGCGCAAGCCUGAUCCAGCCAUACCGCGUGGGUGAAGAAGGCCUUCGGGUUGUAAAGCCCUUUUGUUGGGAAAGAAAAGCAGCAGGUUAAUACCCCGCUGUUCUGACGGUACCCAAAGAAUAAGCACCGGCUAACUUCGUG
rnacentral:rRNA from 1 species